rnacentral:rRNA from 1 species
UCGCGUCUGCUGUGAAAGCCCGGGGCUCAACCCCGGGUCUGCAGUGGGUACGGGCAGACUAGAGUGCAGUAGGGGAGACUGGAAUUCCUGGUGUAGCGGUGAAAUGCGCAGAUAUCAGGAGGAACACCGAUGGCGAAGGCAGGUCUCUGGGCUGUUACUGACGCUGAGGAGCGAAAGCAUGGGGAGCGAACAGGAUUAGAUACCCUGGUAGUCCAUGCCGUAAACGUUGGGCACUAGGUGUGGGGGACAUUCCACGUUUUCCGCGCCGUAGCUAACGCAUUAAGUGCCCCGCCUGGGGAGUACGGCCGCAAGGCUAAAACUCAAAGGAAUUGACGGGGGCCCGCACAAGCGGCGGAGCAUGCGGAUUAAUUCGAUGCAACGCGAAGAACCUUACCAAGGCUUGACAUUCACCGGACCGCCCCAGAGAUGGGGUUUCCCUUCGGGGCUGGUGGACAGGUGGUGCAUGGUUGUCGUCAGCUCGUGUCGUGAGAUGUUGGGUUAAGUCCCGCAACGAGCGCAACCCUCGUUCUAUGUUGCCAGCACGUGAUGGUGGGGACUCAUAGGAGACUGCCGGGGUCAACUCGGAGGAAGGUGGGGAUGACGUCAAAUCAUCAUGCCCCUUAUGUCUUGGGCUUCACGCAUGCUACAAUGGCCGGUACAAAGGGUUGCGAUACUGUGAGGUGGAGCUAAUCCCAAAAAGCCGGUCUCAGUUCGGAUUGAGGUCUGCAACUCGACCUCAUGAAGUCGGAGUCGCUAGUAAUCGCAGAUCAGCAACGCUGCGGUGAAUACGUUCCCGGGGCCUUGUACACACCGCCCCGUCAAGUCACGAAAAGUUGGUAACACCCCGAAGCCGGGUGGCC